rnacentral:lncRNA from 1 species
CUAUGUAGAAAGAUGGUAUGGGGAGUUCAUUUUGUUUGGAUGGUAUAAAAAUUGGAUACAUGAGAAAAACAGAUGCCCUAAGAGAAGGGGUAAGGAAAAGGAAGAAUGGGGAAGUUUAUCUCACAUAAAAGAGAUGUGCAAGUUGGGGGGGGUUAAUUUUUAACAGAGGGGAGGUUAAGUGUAACUGAGGGGGUUAAGACUUUCAGUAUAGAGAAGGAAAGAAGAGUAGAGCCUCUCCUUCUCAAAGCAGGGUUCAGGAGAGACAGCUGACGUUUAGGGUUGGCUCAGAGAGAGGAGAGGAGGUUUUAAGAUCCCACCCCAUCUACCUUUCCUCCUUAGCUAAGGCUGCUCACAAGGAAGAGAUUUUACAGCAGAGACAGAAAAUGUGGGGAGUCAGGCAACACUUGAACCCACUCACAUAUAAAGUGUCUAAGUUUCUCUCUCUCUCUCUCCCUCUCUCUCUCUCCCUCUCCUUCCUUCCUUCUUUCUUUCUUUCUUUCUUUCUCUCUCUCUCUUUCUUUCUUUCUCUCUUUCUCUCUCUCUCUCUUUCUCUCUCUUUCUCUCUUUCUCUCUUUCUCUCUCUUUCCUUCUCUCUCUCUCUUUCUUUCUUUCUUUCUUUCUUUCUUUCUUUCUUUCUUUCUUUCUUUCUUUCUUUCUUUCUUUCUUUCUUUCUUUCUUCCUCUCUCUCUCUUUCCUUCUUUCUUUCUUUCUUUCUUUCUUGUUAUUUUAUUAGUAAUCAUCAUAACUAGAAUUUAAACCAUGCCCUCUGCUUCCAAAGCCUUUCUACUGGAUUAUCAUUCCUUUAUAUCUUGUCUUAGUUUCCUGUCUAGUAAAGUAAGUGUAAUAAUACUUUUGCUUCCAACCAUACAAGAGUUCCAGGGUGGUGACUGUUAUCAUGAAGUUCCUAAUAAUUCCAGCUACUGUAUUAUGUGAAAGAAAUAGAAAUAUGUUGUUGGGAGGACCUGGCUUCAUAUCUGGACUCAGACACUUCUUACCUGUGUGGCCCUGGGUAAGUCACUUAACUGUAGUUAUCUAGUCCUUGAUAUUUUUCUGUCUUAGAAUUGAUAACAUAAAAACAUAAACAUAACAUAAUAUAAAAAGAUAAAGGUUUUUUAAAAAAAGAAAUAAAAGCCAAUGUUUUACAUGGUUAGAUUAGUAC